rnacentral:lncRNA from 1 species
AGAAGGCAACUAAAUUUGAUGGAGACAUUGUUGGAACAAAUAUCGCAUAGGAAUUUGAUUGUGAUUAAAAUCUAACUAAUUUUAUGAUAACAAUAAAUAAAUCAAACUUACAGAUGACGCAAAUAUUCCAAUAAAGAUAUGAUCUUAUCCGGAAGCGUGCGAGGCACUGCCCUAAGGCGUAUUCCCGUCCUUACGUGCGGGAUUAACCGGAAAUAACACCCCAAGGUACGACCGGAAUUCCUCCUCCUACGAGCACGAUCGUGAAGGAGGUUGACGAAGAUUCUCAACACCCAGUGGAUAAGGGGAAUGUUCAAAAAUAAAAGAUAAAAGAAUAAAAGGAUAGAGAUUAACCAAUGAUCAAAAAUCUUUUCUACCUGCUCUGUUUUUUUUUUUUAUUCCAGAGGAGGAAAAGAGAAAGGGAAUUUAACGCUUUUUCUCUUACGAGAGAGAAGCGGAACCCGCCCAACGUAAUGCGAAAGAAACGGAACGGAAAAUAUUCCGUUAGUUUCUUUCUCAUUAAGAAAGAUAAUAAAAUAAUUAAAUAAAAUAAAAUAAAUAAAGUAGUAAAUAAAUAAAAUAAUAAAUAAUAAAUAAUAAAUAAUAAAACAUCAAAGUGCAAAUAAAAUAAAUUCAAACUCAAAAUUUUGAGUUUUCACCAACAAUCCCCCACAAAACUCAAAAUUUUAAAAUUACGAAUUAAAAUCAAAUUUACUGGGUGUUUUAUACUAUGCAAUGGGUGAGGUGUUUUUAAAAAACUUAACCUCACUUAGUGUAAAUAGUUUCCAUCAGAAGGAAUCGGAGUGAACCAGGUCUUGAACUACGUUCCUUUGGCCCUGACUUCAACUACCACACACACAGUACAGAAUUCUCCGUCGCGGGUCUGUGCGUUAAUGGCCAUGCACAGUACCUUGAUUUUUCAUAAGAGUUUCUAUGNN